AUGACUUUUGUUGUAAUUUGACGCUAUAUAAAUUAAACUGAAUUGAAUUGAAUACCUGCAUCCUGUCCAGCUACAAAUGACAAUAAUAAUAUUGCUGUAACAUGUAUGAUAUACAUGAUCUAACGUGCAUUUUGUAGGACCACUGUCAAGCAAUCAAGAGAGAAGAAAGAAAAAGCAUUUUCACUAUCUCAUCAGUCUUUACUGACUUAAUGGAACUGAAGCAUGUUAGAUGAACAUCAUCCACUGCCUGGCAUCACGUCGCAGCAUUUUAAUGGGAUGUUACAGCCUGCUGUUGCACACACAGUCUGUUGAUGCGGUGACUCCACCGACAGUCAGUUCGUUGUCACGUAUGCCAGGAAUGAGAAGGCCAGCUCACACAGAUAUGAUGCGGGAAAACUGCAACAGCACACUGCUUGUGAAGUUGGUUAAAGAUGGAUAUCUCACAAGCAGUCAAAGUGGAAUGCUGUCUUGUGUGCAGGGUCCUCUGAUAUAAAGGGGAACAUAUCGAGAUUCUUGUUCACUACUCUGUCUGGCUGUAGAGUUUGGAUUGGAACCGGUUCAGUUUGUCAGUGACUGUGAGAAUGUUUUCAUUCCACGCAAACUGCUUCAGUUCAUCUCACAGUUCAUAAACACAAGACAACACCUUUCCCCUUGAAAGCCAGCACACGUCUGUAAGCAGCGGAGACUACGAUGCUCCACCUCAUCAACAGCCUUGAUUUCAAAGGACGUGACUUGGCGUAACUGACAACCUGGACAGCUUGUUCUAAUACUGCAGUAAGAUCCAGGGUCAUUGCCUUCAUGACAAGGUGAUGAAUCUGUGAGAUAAAAAAUGUUCUGUCUGGUUGCGUGCCUCAACAUUUCUUUGCUAUUUGUAGAGCAAACCUGCUGCUUUUUUUGUAAUUUCUCAUUUAAGGCAGCCUCGAGGUCAGUGGACAUGUCAUCAAUACAGUGUUUUUUGUUCUGUUGUCAGAAAAAGUUAUUUUAGCUGCGUCUGGUUAUUUCAUUAUCCCCACAAUUUUCUUGGAGGAUGAGUGCUUCAGCAGCAGUCUGGCUUCUUUGUUUUUGCGGUGAGCGCCGCCAUCAGGAAGCUUUCCUCCUGAGUGUUCUGAGGGAGGCUUUGAGCUUUAUGUACCAUGACGAAUCUUUCCGUCGUUUUCUCUGGCAGUCACUUUUCGCCUUUUGCCUCGUCCCAUCUUCUCAACUAGAGCCAAAAGUUUUAUUUCUCCGCCUCCUACGAUACUUCCCUGGUUGCCUUGUGCAGUCUGGCUCCCUGUAGUCCCAGUUCCUUGAGCAGAUGCACCGUUAUGUCUCCAACAAAGCCUCGAGCACUAGAUGGAGUGUGAAGCUCUACCCGUUUUUACAUCAGUGACUGGCUUCAUCAUUAACAUCGACACGUCAACCUCGAUGACUCCACGGUGUUAUGUCUGCACAUAGAGCUCCAGCCAGGACCUUUUACAGCUCCUGUUCAAUUAAGUGGGUGGAACAACAACCUGAGUUUGGUUCAGUUCCAGAACAUUUUCUGCUGUCUGAUGGUCCGUGUGGCGUUUCUCCGGGGAACAGCGUGACGGUCCAGGAUGAGACGUCUCCUUGUCUGCUGUAGUGUCGCUGAUGACUCUGAUACUGCCUCCUCUUCAUUUUAGGAUGUCUGUAGUGUGAUACUGGACCACAGUUACCUGCCGACACACUGAGGUCUGACAGAGAACGCGCUGGUGUAUAUAGGAGGGUUUGUUGUUCGACAGGUGCUGAAGCUGCUUUGAUGCAAUGUGUGCACAAACAGUUUUGUGUCUGAUGUACCGGCAUCAUUUUCUGAAAGUUACCACCUGAGAACAACUGUCAGGGUGAUCCACUCAGCAGAGCGCUGCAUUCAAUAAACCACAAACAUUUCAUCAGCAGCUCAUCAAUGCAGCGUUUCCCUCAUCAACCACAUGAUGGUCCCACAUAGCUCCAGAGGAUGUGUUCAGUCUUAGUGAUCAUAUUAUCGAGACUCAGGACGGCAUUGACAAUCAUCACUUUUGUAUCCUGUCAUCAGCUGUCAGCAACUUCCACGAGUUGAAGCAGCACCACAUUUCCAAACUUCACACUCUGCAAUUACAAAGUGGCAGCUUGAGAAAGAAGCUGAGUAAAACUGUUCAGGGAUAUUAAUCCUUAAAACAAACAUGUUCAUAUGUUGUUGAAAAGUGUGAGAUGGAAACGACUUUGACUCUUACCAAGCUGCAGAGCCUAAUUAUUAAUGUUUACAUAUGACUGAACUGUAUAUCUGAACACUGGUCUCAAACACUUGAUGCACUACAUUGUAUGUAGUAUUGUAUUACUAUUAUUAUUGUAUUGUAUUAUUAUAUUAUAGUGUCUAAAGUGAAUUAAUGAAGAUGAGGAUGAUAUUUGUGACAUUGUGUAAUGGCAGCUGCCUAAUGAAGUGGAACUGAACUGGACUCAUUAAUACAAUGACAAGCAACCAGGAGGCUUUAUAACAAUAUAACAGAUAUAGAAAUCUACAUUUUUGGAGAAACUCAUAAAAGUAAAUGCUAAAUAAUUUACUCGUGAUGUUACCUGUUCAUAGAUCAGAGUCUGCGUGUUCCAGUGGAAGUUGUUGUUAUUCAGGAGGUUAAUGUUGUUGACAUAGAGCUGAUUAGAUUCAUCCCCAGGAACUGAAUUUAACUCCAACAAGUAAUCAGUAUCAUGUUCAAUUCCUGAUGUUUAUAACAAACCAAAUUUCAUGAAAGUUGGUUCAGAAUUAAGCAAGUUUCAGUUGAUUUUGUAGUGAAGUCUGCAUCUCUCGUAUUUGUUUACCAACAGAUCUUGACCGCCACAAUAUGGUGGACAUACAGACGCAUAGUGGUGACAUACAGCAGCGGCCAAUGAGGCAUCUACAUUUCUAUGGCUAUGUACACGCAGGCAGCAGUGAUAACGAGUUACUAUGGUUACGGGGAUGAGAUAAAAUCAUGAAUGUAUGUACCUUAAUGCUGAAAUCUAGAAAUAUAACAUAAUUUUACAUUUUACAGGGUUGCCAACAUGUUCUAAUUGAUCUAAAAUCAAUCUAUUAAAUCUCAUCACCAACAAGAGACCCUGCUUCACCAGACUGGUUCAGAUCAGUGCAGCUCUGAGCUCAGCAGACCAGGUUCACUGAAGCUGUUUCUCAGCUGGAACAGUAAAACACUUUAAAUAUUAAAUAUUCAUUCUUCUAAUAAUCAUUUCCUGUUCUGAUCCACCCGAUCAUAUAUCUAAUUGAUCUAGACUAGUGCAGGUUGCUGUUUCUUGACUUAAUCCAAAGGUCAGGUGAGGUGGUGGUUGAGGACGCCCCCCCCCCCCCCUCCUUUGUAUAUUUCCAUGCAUAGACCUGUUUACUUCUUCUAUCUGCAUAGACCUGAGAGACUGAAGUGGGGAGUGUUGGAUGAUGGGAGGGAUUUUGUGAGGAGCACAGAUUUUUCUAAUCCUAUGUGAUGAAGAAAAAUGUGUGUAACAUCUGGAAUGUAUAUCGAAAACGCUACCCAGUAAACACAAAUCAGCACAUCCAGCUUCUUCGGGAGCCUGGACGUGCAUGUUGCAGUUUGCAGCAGGGAGGUGACGUCAUCCAUACAGCUCCUUAUUGGGGGACAGGAGGCUGGACUCCACCAACCACCUGCUUCAAUAAGGAUGACUUCAAAUGCUGCUAUGAAGAGGAUGAGGGUGAUGGAACAUCCCAUUUCAACCCGGGAAACCUGGGACCCCGGCCUUCUGGCAGCUGGUGUCGAUAUAGCCAUUCUCCAUCAAGUAGGUUGUAAUCCUUCUUGCCACAGAGAAGAAAGUCUUCACCUCAACACUGGUUGUCUUGGAGUUCUGCUCAUUGAUAUGGAGACUGUCACUGCCCUUUGCCACUCCAAUGGGAUGCUCAGCUUGGUCCAGGCAAUGAUCAUGAGGGCCCAUAGGAGCUUCAACUCAACAGUUCUUAUAUAACUUGUACGUGACACUUGACGUGUCAAACAGGGCAGAUGGUUCUGCAGGUUUAGACACGUAACCUGGUGGACCCAGAGGCUCCUUCCUUGCAGGGUUGCUGUAUUUAGUGUGGAUGUUUUCCUCUAGCUCUUCCUUGGAGACCUCCAGCGAUCCACAGGUUAAUAAGCCUUCCUCUGAUCUCAUCCCAAAGGACUUUUAGACCCUUUUUUCUGACUCCUCUGCUUUCCUCCAGCAUUUGCGGAGCUGCCUUCUGCUCGCCACCAGACCAUCGGUUUCUUUCUCCCUCCUCCCCUUUGUCCUUACUACUGCCUUCCUGAUGGUCACCUCGCCACACCUGCUGCUGCAUUCUUCAUACAGGAUUUCCCUGCACAGGUUUAGCUUUGCUUCCACUGGGUCAUGCAGGGUUCUCUGCAGCACUUUGCUCAGGUUUUCAUCCAACUUUCUCCACUCUUUAGCUUCACUUGACUUUGGCCACUUGAUCCUGUUCCUUGGUCCUGGGCCCUUCAGGCCCUUGGUCCUGUGAGCGUGCUACGAGGUUCAACCUUGGGAGUCAUCGGCAUCCCUUUCUUCCCCAUCUGUCCUUUCUUCCUGCUCUGACUCCAUUGGGCCCAACGGCACUCUGGUUUUCAACCUGGCCUCAGAUCCCAUUUGCAUUUGGCAGAGGUUGCUGUAUUUGUUGCCUUCACGUGUUUUUUAAGUGUUCCAGCUGUACACAAAUGGUUUUGUUGCCGUCCAUAAAUGAUCUUAAUUUUAUUAAAGCGGCUGCUCUGCUGUAUUUUCUGUGUAAACUCUG